rnacentral:rRNA from 1 species
GACGAACGCUGGCGGCGUGCUUAACACAUGCAAGUCGAACGGAAAGGCCCUGCUUUUGUGGUGUGCUCGAGUGGCGAACGGGUGAGUAACACGUGAGUAACCUGCCCUUGACUUUGGGAUAACUUCAGGAAACUGGGGCUAAUACCGGAUAGGAGCUCCUGCUGCAUGGUGUGGGUUGGAAAGUUUCGGCGGUUGGGGAUGGACUCGCGGCUUAUCAGCUUGUUGGUGGGGUAGUGGCUUACCAAGGCUUAGACGGGUAGCCGGCCUGAGAGGGUGACCGGCGACAUUGGGACUGAGAUACGGACCAGAAUCCUACGGGAGGCAGCAGUGGGGAAUAUUGCACAAUGGGCGGAAGCCUGAUGCAGCAACGCCGCGUGCGGGAUGACGGCCUUCGGGUUGUAAACCGCUUUCGCCUGUGACGAAGCGUGAGUGACGGUAACGGGUAAAGAAGCACCGGCUAACUACGUG